rnacentral:tRNA from 3 species
GCGUCGGAGGUACCUGUUGGUUUGGUACACCUGCCUGUAAAGCAGGCGCUUCGGCUUCGGGGGUUCGAUUCCCUCCCGGCGUA